rnacentral:rRNA from 1 species
CAGCAGCCGCGGUAAUACGUAGGGUGCAAGCGUUAAUCGGAAUUACUGGGCGUAACGCGUGCGCAGGCGGUUUGUUAAGACAGAUGUGAAAUCCCCGGGCUCAACCUGGGAACUGCAUUUGUGACUGGCAGGCUAGAGUAUGGCAGAGGGGGGUGGAAUUCCGCGUGUAGCAGUGAAAUGCGUAGAUAUGCGGAGGAACACCGAUGGCGAAGGCAGCCCCCUGGGCCAAUACUGACGCUCACGCACGAAAGCGUGGGGAGCAAACAGGAUUAGAUACCCCUGUAGUCCCUGUCUCUUAUAC